rnacentral:rRNA from 1 species
AGAGUUUGAUCCUGGCUCAGAUUGAACGCUGGCGGCAUGCCUUACACAUGCAAGUCGAACGGCACCACGGGAGCUUGCUCCUGGUGGCGAGUGGCGAACGGGUGAGUAAUACAUCGGAACGUACCCAGUAGUGGGGGAUAACGCACCGAAAGGUGCGCUAAUACCGCAUACGACCUAUGGGUGAAAGCGGGGGACCGUAAGGCCUCGCGCUAUUGGAGCGGCCGAUGUCUGAUUAGCUAAUUGGCGGGGUAAAAGCCCACCAAGGCGACGAUCAGUAGCUGGUCUGAGAGGACGAUCAGCCACACUGGGACUGAGACACGGCCCAGACUCCUACGGGAGGCAGCAGUGGGGAAUUUUGGACAAUGGGGGCAACCCUGAUCCAGCAAUGCCGCGUGUGCGAAGAAGGCCUUCGGGUUGUAAAGCACUUUUGUCAGGGAAGAAAUCUUUUGGGCUAAUACCCCGGAAGGAUGACGGUACCUGAAGAAUAAGCACCGGCUAACUACGUGCCAGCAGCCGCGGUAAUACGUAGGGUGCAAGCGUUAAUCGGAAUUACUGGGCGUAAAGCGUGCGCAGGCGGUUCGCUAAGACAGUCGUGAAAUCCCCGGGCUUAACCUGGGAACUGCGAUUGUGACUGGCGAGCUAGAGUACGGCAGAGGGGGGUGGAAUUCCUGGUGUAGCAGUGAAAUGCGUAGAGAUCAGGAGGAACACCGAUGGCGAAGGCAGCCCCCUGGGCUAGUACUGACGCUCAUGCACGAAAGCGUGGGGAGCAAACAGGAUUAGAUACCCUGGUAGUCCACGCCGUAAACGAUGUCGAUUAGUUGUUGGUUCUUCAUUGAAUCAGUAACGAAGCUAACGCGUGAAAUCGACCGCCUGGGGGAGUACGGUCGCAAGAUUAAAACUCAAAGGAAUUGACGGGGACCCGCACAAGCGGUGGAUGAUGUGGAUUAAUUCGAUGCAACGCGAAAAACCUUACCUACCCUUGACAUGGUCGGAAUCCUGCAGAGAUGCGGGAGUGCUCGAAAGAGAACCGGCACACAGGUGCCGCAUGGCUGUCGUCAGUUCGUGUCGUGAGAUGUUGGGUUAAGUCCCGCAACGAGCGCAACCCUUGUCAUUAGUUGUUACGAAAGGGCAUUUUAAUGAGACUGCCGGUGACAAACCGGAGGAAGGUGGGGAUGACGUCAAGUCUUCAUGGCCCUUAUGGGUAGGGCUUCACACGUCAUACAAUGGUCGGUACAGAGGGCUGCCAACCCGCAAGGGGGAGCCAAUCCCUUAAAACCGAUUGUAGUCCGGAUUGAGGUCUGCAACUCGACCUCAUGAAGUCGGAAUCGUUAGUAAUCGCGGAUCAGCAUGUCGCGGUGAAUACGUUCCCGGGUCUUGUACACACCGCCCGUCACACCAUGGGAGCGGGUUUUACCAGAAGUAGCUAGCCUAACCGCAAGGAGGGCGGUUACCACGGUAGGAUUCGUGACUGGGGUGAAGUCGUAACAAGGUAACC